rnacentral:rRNA from 1 species
GACGAACGCUGGCGGCGUGCCUAAUACAUGCAAGUUGAGCGCUGAAGGAUGGUACUUGUACCAACUGGAUGAGCAGCGAACGGGUGAGUAACGCGUGGGGAAUCUGCUUUUGAGCGGGGGACAACAUUGGGAAACGAAUGCUAAUACCGCAUAAAAACUUUAAACACAAGUUUUAAGUUUGAAAGAUGCAAUUGCAUCAUGCAAAGAUGAUCCCGCGUUGUAUUAGUUAGUUGGUGAGGUAAAGGCUCACCAAGGCGUAGAUACAUAGCCUACCUGGGAGGGUGGUCGGCCACAAUUGGACUGGGACACGGCCCAAGCUCCUUCGGGGAGCAGCAGUAGGGAAACUUCGGCAAUGGGCGGAAAUCUGACCGAGCAACGCCGCGUUAGUGGAGAAGGUUGUCGGGUUGUAAAACUCUGUUUGUAGGGAAGAACGUUGGGGAGAGUGGAAAGCUCAUCAAGUGACGGUAACUACCCAGAAAGGAACGGCUAACUACGUG